GUGGGUGUAGCUCAGCUGGUUAGAGCACCUGGUUGUGGCCCAGGAGGUCGCCGGUUCAAGUCCGGUCACUCACCCCA
rnacentral:tRNA from 1 species